GACGAACGCUGGCGGCGUGCUUAACACAUGCAAGUCGAACGGAAAGGCCCUGCUUUUGUGGGGUGCUCGAGUGGCGAACGGGUGAGUAACACGUGAGUAACCUGCCCUUGACUUUGGGAUAACUUCAGGAAACUGGGGCUAAUACCGGAUAGGAGCUCCUGCUGCAUGGUGGGGGUUGGAAAGUUUCGGCGGUUGGGGAUGGACUCGCGGCUUAUCAGCUUGUUGGUGGGGUAGUGGCUUACCAAGGCUUUGACGGGUAGCCGGCCUGAGAGGGUGACCGGCCACAUUGGGACUGGGAUACGGCCCAGACUCCUACGGGAGGCAGCAGUGGGGAAUAUUGCACAAUGGGCGGAAGCCUGAUGCAGCAACGCCGCGUGCGGGAUGACGGCCUUCGGGUUGUAAACCGCUUUCGCCUGUGACGAAGAGUGAGUGACGGUAAUGGGUAAAGAAGCACCGGCUAACUACGUG
rnacentral:rRNA from 1 species